CCUCUAAUCAGUGAAACUGAUCUCUCCGUGAAGAAGCGGGGAUGAAUCUAUAAGACGAGAAGACCCCAUGGAGCUUUAAACCCGACAGCACCCGCUUACUUUAUACCCAAUUAUAUGCCCGUUGCCUGUCUGCUCGGUUUUAGGUUGGGGUGACCACGGAGUACAAAAUAACCUCCAUGAAAAAGGGGAUAAAUACCCUUAUUAGAGAACAACACUUCCAAAAACUAACAAAUUAAUUUCUAAUGAUCCGACAUUCGAUCAACGAACCAAGUUACCCUGGGGAUAACAGCGCAAUCCACCCCGAGAGCUCCUAUCGACAGGUGGGUUUACGACCUCGAUGUUGGAUCAGGGUAUCCCAGUGGUGCAGCAGCUACCAACGGUUCGUUUGUUCAACGAUUAAAACCCU
rnacentral:rRNA from 1 species